UUGUGUGUUCAAGUUUUUAAGGGCAUACGGUGGAUGCCUUGGCAUCAGGAGCCGAUGAAGGACGUGGGAGCCUGCGAUAUGCCUCGGGGAGUCGGCAACCAG
rnacentral:rRNA from 1 species